ACCCUUCGGGGUUAGCGGCGGACAGGUGAGUAACACGUGGGCGACCUACCUUGUAGAUGGGGAUAACAUCGAGAAAUCGGUGCUAAUACCGAAUAACACUUUUCUCCACAUGGAGGAAAGUUAAAAGUUGGCUUCUGCUAACACUACAAGAUGGGCCCGCGGCGCAUUAGCUAGUUGGUGAGGUAACGGCUCACCAAGGCGACAAUACGUAGCCGACCUGAGAGGGUGAUCUGCCACACUGGGACUGAGACACGGCCCACACUCCUACGGGAGGCAGCAGUGGG
rnacentral:misc_RNA from 1 species